rnacentral:rRNA from 1 species
CCUACGGGAGGCUGCAGUGAGGAAUAUUGGUCAAUGGACGAGAGUCUGAACCAGCCAAGUCGCGUGAAGGAUGAAUGUCCUAUGGGUUGUAAACUUCUUUUAUAUGGGAAUAAAAUGUUCCACGUGUGGGAUUUUGUAUGUACCAUAUGAAUAAGGAUCGGCUAACUCCGUGCCAGCAGCCGCGGUAAUACGGAGGAUCCGAGCGUUUUCCGGAUUUAUUGGGUUUAAAGGGGGCGUAGGUGGAUUGUUAAGUCAGUUGGGAAAGUUUGUGGCUCAACCGUCGAAUUGCAGUUGAAACUGGCAGUCUUGAGUACAGUAGAGGUGGGCGGAAUUCGUGGUGUAGCGGUGAAAUGCAUAGAUAUCACGAAGAACUCCGAUUGCGAAGGCAGUUCACUGGACUGCAACUGACACUGAGGCACGAAAGUGUGGGUAUCAAACAGGAUUAGAUACCCCAGUAGUC